rnacentral:rRNA from 1 species
CCUACGGGAGGCAGCAGUGAGGAAUAUUGGUCAAUGGACGAGAGUCUGAACCAGCCAAGUAGCGUGAAGGAUGACUGCCCUAUGGGUUGUAAACUUCUUUUAUAAAGGAAUAAAACGAGGCACGUGUGCCUUUUUGCAUGUACUUUAUGAAUAAGGAUCGGCUAACUCCGUGCCAGCAGCCGCGGUAAUACGGAGGAUCCGAGCGUUAUCCGGAUUUAUUGGGUUUAAAGGGAGCGUAGAUGGGUUGUUAAGUCAGUUGUGAAAGUGUGCGGCUCAACCGUAAAAUUGCAAUUGAUACUGGCAGUCUUGAGUACAGUUGAGGUAGGCGGAAUUCGUGGUGUAGCGGUGAAAUGCGUAGAUAUCACGAAGAACCCCGAUUGCGAAGGCAGCUUACGAAACUGUGACUGACAUUGAUGCUCGAAAGUGUGGGUAUCAAACAGGAUUAGAUACCCCAGUAGUC